rnacentral:misc_RNA from 1 species
GGGGGGCAAGGGCACCUCCGUGCUUGCUCGAGUGCAAUAUGUCGAUUUGCAGAUGUAUAAUCAUUUGAAAACCGAUUGUCUCUCAAGUAAGCCUUACGUUGCCCUUUGUCACAUGUCCCGCGUACGAAUUAAUACAAAUUCAGAUCCGAGCUGCACACGUGGCGAGAGCGGGUCGCAGAAAAGUUUGUAUUAUUUCGUGCAACGGUCAGUUGGCAACGGGAUGUCUUGCAACGUUGUCCCGUUCGUACCGUGUACGUCACAUGUGUGACGUGUAUGAGAUCGACGGGACAACGUUCCACUUAAUGUAGUUGGCCUCAAAACUUAAUGGUUUUGGGGGUAACACACGCGUGAUGUGAACUCUCAGGAAGCUUUUUGCAAGUUAUCCGCACGUGCGUUGCCCACAGCUCACGUGCGGACACUUGAUUGGCUAGAGUGAUGUAGUGCACUAAACGCAUGAGCAGCUUUGGACCCGUGUCUGUCGGUAGAUCCCCCGUCGUUCGAUGGCUGACUAUUGACACCUUGUCCUACCAAUCAGGCAAUGUUUUAUCGCUGGAUUAGGAAGUGCUUGCAUAUGAGUACCCGACCUACGGGAAGUGGUGCGUUGAAUAAUUGUUACCAUGCGGCGGACGCCCUAAGGGUGUUUUGCUGUGGCCGAAUAGCGUUUGCAGCGUUGCCUCGUAACAACAUCAUGUAACAUGCUUGUUGCUAUCAAGGGAACCUUGCUCGCGUCGUUGGUCUUGGAUGUUGCUCAUGAUAAAGGCUCGUGGCCCAUUUGGUUGCCUCGACCCAACCCUAAGCUCUACGUCUUGAGAACAACCGGAACAAGAGUUGCAUCUACCUCACCAGAGUUACGCAACUCUCUGUGCCGACCCUCAAGAACGAUGAGCUAUGCCCGCUCGAAAGAGACAACCGGCUUGGCUGUUGCCUCUGUGUUUCUAUGCAAAUUGAAACCAUAGGACGACUCCCAAUGCUGGAUGUCACCGAGGACGUGC